rnacentral:rRNA from 1 species
UGCCUAUGGGUGAAAGGUUAACUGCCUGGAGAUGAGCUCGCGUCUGAUUAGCUAGUUGGUGGUGUAAGAGACUACCAAGGCGACGAUCAGUAGCUGGUCUGAGAGGAUGAUCAGCCACACUGGAACUGAGACACGGUCCAGACUCCUACGGGAGGCAGCAGUGGGGAAUUUUCCGCAAUGGGCGAAAGCCUGACGGAGCAAUACCGCGUGAGGGAGGAAGGCUCUUGGGUUGUAAACCUCUUUUCUCAAGGAAGAAUGAUGACGGUACUUGAGGAAUCAGCAUCGGCUAACUCCGUGCCAGCAGCCGCGGUAAUACGGAGGAUGCAAGCGUUAUCCGGAAUGAUUGGGCGUAAAGCGUCCGUAGGUGGCUGUGUGUGUCUAUUGUUAAAGAGUUUGGCUCAACCAAAUAAGGGCGGUAGAAACUACACAGCUAGAGUGCGUUCGGGGCAGAGGGAAUUCCUGGUGUAGCGGUGAAAUGCGUAGAGAUCAGGAAGAACACCGGUGGCGAAAGCGCUCUGCUAGGCCGCAACUGACACUGAGGGACGAAAGCUAGGGGAGCGAAAGGGAUUAGAUACCCCC